CCUACGGGUGACAGCAGUGGGGAAUAUUGGGCAAUGGGCGCAAGCCUGACCCAGCAACGCCGCGUGAAGGAAGAAGGCUUUCGGGUUGUAAACUUCUUUUCUGAGGGACGAAGAAAGUGACGGUACCUCAGGAAUAAGUCACGGCUAACUACGUGCCAGCAGCCGCGGUAAUACGUAGGUGGCAAGCGUUAUCCGGAUUUAUUGGGUGUAAAGGGCGCGUAGGCGGGAAAGCAAGUCAGAUGUGAAAACUCAGGGCUCAACCGUGAGCCUGCAGUUGAAACUGUUUGUCUUGAGUGCUGGGGAGGCAAGCGGAAUUCCGUGUGUAGCGGUGAAAUGCGUAGAUAUACGGAGGAACACCAGUGGCGAAGGCGGAUUGCUAGACAGUAACUGACGCUGAGGCGCGAAAGCGUGGGGAGCAAACAGGAUUAGAUACCCCAGUAGUC
rnacentral:rRNA from 1 species